CAGUUGACUCGCUAACAAAGUUAGUCCUGAUGAACACACUCUAUUUUAAAGGAAACUGGGAUGUUAAAUUUCCUGAAAAAAACACAGAACAAAAACCAUUCAGGCUGAGCAAGACAAAAACUAAAAUGGUACCAAUGAUGUUUCA